rnacentral:misc_RNA from 2 species
AACGCACCUUGCGCUCCUUGGUAUUCCGAGGAGCAUGCCUGUUUGAGUGUCAUUAAUAUAUCAAUCUCUUAAGCUUUUGCUUGUUGAGUGUUGGAUGUGGGGGCCUUUUUGCUGGUCUUUUAAAAGAGAUCAGCUCCCCUAAAAUGUAUUAGCGGAACAUUUUGUUGACCGUUCAUUGGUGUGAUAAUUAUCUACGCUAUUGACGUGAGGCAGUUCAGCUUCUAACAGUCCAUUGACUUGGACAGUUUUUCAUUAAUGUGACCUCAAAUCAGGUAGGACUACCCGCUGAACUUAA